GAUCUGGCUGAGUGGUCUUGCCGAAAGGUAAGCACUGUUCCGGUCGGGUCUUUCCUUCUGGGGAACCAGCGUGCUCUUAACUGGGUGCGCUGGGGAUCCAGGACGUUUACUUUGAAAAAAUUAGAGUGUUUAAAGCAGGCAUACGCUUGAAUACAUUAGCAUGGAAUAAUAGAAUAGGAC
rnacentral:rRNA from 1 species